CAGAUUGAACGCUGGCGGCAGGCCUAACACAUGCAAGUCGAACGGUAACAGGAAGAAGCUUGCUUCUUUGCUGACGAGUGGCGGACGGGUGAGUAAUGUCUGGGAAACUGCCUGAUGGAGGGGGAUAACUACUGGAAACGGUAGCUAAUACCGCAUAACGUCGCAAGACCAAAGAGGGGGACCUUCGGGCCUCUUGCCAUCGGAUGUGCCCAGAUGGGAUUAGCUUGUUGGUGGGGUAACGGCUCACCAAGGCGACGAUCCCUAGCUGGUCUGAGAGGAUGACCAGCCACACUGGAACUGAGACACGGUCCAGACUCCUACGGGAGGCAGCAGUGGGGAAUAUUGCACAAUGGGCGCAAGCCUGAUGCAGCCAUGCCGCGUGUAUGAAGAAGGCCUUCGGGUUGUAAAGUACUUUCAGCGGGGAGGAAGGGAGUAAAGUUAAUACCUUUACUCAUUGACGUUACCCGCAGAAGAAGCACCGGCUAACUCCGUGCCAGCAGCCGCGGUAAUACGGAGGGUGCAAGCGUUAAUCGGAAUUACUGGGCGUAAAGCGCACGCAGGCGGUUUGUUAAGUCAGAUGUGAAAUCCCCGGGCUCAACCUGGGAACUGCAUCUGAUACUGGCAAGCUUGAGUCUCGUAGAGGGGGGUAGAAUUCCAGGUGUAGCGGUGAAAUGCGUAGAGAUCUGGAGGAAUACCGGUGGCGAAGGCGGCCCCCUGGACGAAGACUGACGCUCAGGUGCGAAAGCGUGGGGAGCAAACAGGAUUAGAUACCCUGGUAGUCCACGCCGUAAACGAUGUCGACUUGGAGGUUGUGCCCUUGAGGCGUGGCUUCCGGAGCUAACGCGUUAAGUCGACCGCCUGGGGAGUACGGCCGCAAGGUUAAAACUCAAAUGAAUUGACGGGGGCCCGCACAAGCGGUGGAGCAUGUGGUUUAAUUCGAUGCAACGCGAAGAACCUUACCUGGUCUUGACAUCCACGGAAGUUUUCAGAGAUGAGAAUGUGCCUUCGGGAACCGUGAGACAGGUGCUGCAUGGCUGUCGUCAGCUCGUGUUGUGAAAUGUUGGGUUAAGUCCCGCAACGAGCGCAACCCUUAUCCUUUGUUGCCAGCGGUCCGGCCGGGAACUCAAAGGAGACUGCCAGUGAUAAACUGGAGGAAGGUGGGGAUGACGUCAAGUCAUCAUGGCCCUUACGACCAGGGCUACACACGUGCUACAAUGGCGCAUACAAAGAGAAGCGACCUCGCGAGAGCAAGCGGACCUCAUAAAGUGCGUCGUAGUCCGGAUUGGAGUCUGCAACUCGACUCCAUGAAGUCGGAAUCGCUAGUAAUCGUGGAUCAGAAUGCCACGGUGAAUACGUUCCCGGGCCUUGUACACACCGCCCGUCACACCAUGGGAGUGGGUUGCAAAAGAAGUAGGUAGCUUAACCUUCGGGAGGGCGCUUACCACUUUGUGAUUCAUGACUGGGGUGAAGUCGUAACAAGGUAACCGUAGGGGAAC
rnacentral:rRNA from 1 species